UCCGGUGAUGGAGGUUUUGCAUUGUGAUUGACUUGUUUAUAUCCAUUAUGUGACAUUUUGUUUCUUAUUUGAAUGUCUGAAAACGAKUUUUUCGAUUCAUUAGAUUAAUUAUUCUCUAUUUUGUUUAUUUWACCAAUUUUCUUCGAGAUCUGUGACCUCGAUUUUUGCCUAUUAUACAAUAUUAAGAACAGUGAAUGCAUUGCAGAACGGAAUAGCGGUCUUCAACAUGGACUUUCGUAAGCGGGAGAGACAACAGCCUCUUCAAGAUGAUGACAGCGAUGUUGAGAUGGSUGAAAUCGGCAGCAAUGCUGAUUCCAAAGAAUUUGGGGGAAAGCGAAUCAUCAUGAAAGGUCAAGUAAAACAAAAUCACAGCGAGAUUGAAAAGAGACGGCGUGACAAGAUGAAUACUUACAUC